rnacentral:rRNA from 1 species
GUGUCAGCAGCCGCGGUAAGACGUGGGGGGCCAGCGUUGCUCGGAAUUACUGGGUGUAAAGGGUCCGUAGGCGGUGUGGCAAGUCGGGAGUGAAAUCUCUGGGCUUAACCCAGAGGCUGCUUCCGAAACUGCCAUGCUGGAGUGUGGGAGAGGCGAGUGGAAUUGCAGGUGUAGCGGUGAAAUGCGUAGAUAUCUGCAGGAACACCCGUGGCGAAGGCGGCUCGCUGGACCACAACUGACGCUGAGGGACGAAAGCUAGGGGAGCAAACAGGAUUAGAUACCCUGGUAGUCC